CACGCCGGCUGAGUCAGCAGCGGCAACCCGCUAGGGUCCCUUUCCAUGUUGUGGAAGCUUUUUUCUUUCGCUCUUCACAAUAAAUCUUGUUGCUGCCCACUCUUUGGGUCCAUGCCAGCUUUUAUGAGCUGUAACACUCACCUCGAAGGUCUGCAGCUUCACUCCUGAAGUCAGCCAACCACAAACCCGCCAGAAGGAAGAAACUCCAGACACGUCCGAACAUGGGAAGGAACAAACUCUAGACACACCAUCUUUAAGAACUGUAACACUCACCACCAGGGUCCGCGGCUUCAUUCUUGAAGUCAGCGAGACCAAGAACCCACCAAUUCCGGACGCAAGCUGGUUAUUUUGAGAAACUCCAGACACAGGAGUAGCUCUGAAAACAAGGAUGAAGGUUGCCCUUUGGUAAGGGAAAUUUACAUCUAUGAAGAAAAUAUCUGGGGGGUGUCUCCUCUGCACCGGGAAGAGAGGGAUGACUAAACCACUAGAGGCUCUUAACGGAGAAAGAGAAAUGAUGGUAUUUCAGCCUGAAGUCUAAGACUAAGAUCUACUCUAGAGAUUUACUAAUUUCUCUGGAUUAUCACCAAUGUAUACAAGAGGUUUACAUGUUAUUACAUCUCUGUGUGUUUUUCUGUUGUUAAUUUGUCUUUUAUUACAGGGAGUCCCAGCUAAGAAUUCAUGAAAAGUGAUGAAGAAAAUGAUUUUUCCUCCCCAUACCAGUUUUAAAUGCAAAUAUAAGAGCAUUUAAUUAGUACGCAAAAUCACCAAAAUUGUCCAACUUUUAUUUUUUUAGCCGUUAUACGCAUCUGUAUUUCAUUCUUACCCGUCUUUCUUUCCACUGAAACACUG
rnacentral:lncRNA from 10 species